rnacentral:rRNA from 1 species
UCCGUAGGUGAACCUGCGGAAGGAUCAUUAAAAAAAGAGAAACGCCCCGUUUUUUUCAUAAGAAUGGGUUCUAUUCCCUUAAAACCGUGUCUACAUACCUUUGUUGCUUUGGCAGGCCGCCUUCGGGCGUCGGCUCCGGCUGAUAGUGCCUGCCAGAGGACCCAAACUCUAUGUUUAGUGAUGUCUGAGUACUAUAUAAUAUUUAAAACUUUCAACAACGGAUCUCUUGGUUCUGGCAUCGAUGAAGAACGCAGCGAAAUGCGAUAAGUAAUGUGAAUUGCAGAAUUCAGUGAAUCAUCGAAUCUUUGAACGCACAUUGCGCCCCUUGGUAUUCCGAGGGGCAUGCCUGUUCGAGCGUCAUUAUAACCACUCAAGCCUGGCUUGGUAUUGGGGUUCGCGUGUUCGCGGCCCUUAAAAUCAGUGGCGGUGCCGUCUGGCUCUAAGCGUAGUAAUUUCUCUCGCUAUAGGGUUCCGGUGGUUGCUUGCCAAAACCCCCCUAUUUUUCUAGGUUGACCUCGGAUCAGGUAGGGAUACCCGCUGAACUUAA